rnacentral:rRNA from 1 species
GACGAACGCUGGCGGCGUGCUUAACACAUGCAAGUCGAACGGAAAGGCCCUGCUUUUGUGGGGUGCUCGAGUGGCGAACGGGUGAGUAACACGUGAGUAACCUGCCCUUGACUUUGGGAUAACUUCAGGAAACUGGGGCUAAUACCGGAUAGGAGCUCCUGCUGCAUGGUGGGGGUUGGAAAGUUUCGGCGGUUGGGGAUGGACUCGCGGCUUAUCAGCUUGUUGGUGGGGUAGUGGCUUACCAAGGCUUUGACGGGUAGCCGGCCUGAGAGGGUGACCGGCCACAUUGGGACUGAGAUACGGCCCAGACUCCUACGGGAGGCGGCAGUGGGGAAUAUUGCACAAUGGGCGGAAGCCUAAUGCAGCAACGCCGCGUGCGGGAUGACGGCCUUCGGGUUGUAAACCGCUUUCGCCUGUGACGAAGCGUGAGUGACGGUAAUGGGUAAAGAAGCACCGGCUAACUACGUG